CCUAACGGGAGGCAGCAGUGAGGAAUAUUGGUCAAUGGGCUUACGCCUGAACCAGCCAAGUCGCGUGAGGGAAGACUGCCCUAUGGGUUGUAAACCUCUUUUGUCAGGGAGCAAUUGGCGCUACGUGUAGCGUUAUCGAGAGUACCUGAAGAAAAAGCAUCGGCUAACUCCGUGCCAGCAGCCGCGGUAAUACGGAGGAUGCGAGCGUUAUCCGGAUUUAUUGGGUUUAACGGGUGCGUAGGCGGAAUGCCAAGUCAGCGGUAAAAUCGCGGGGCUCAACCUCGCUCCGCCGUUGAAACUGGCGUUAUUGAGUGGGCGAGAAGUAUGCGGAAUGCGUGGUGUAGCGGUGAAAUGCAUAGAUAUCACGCAGAACUCCGAUUGCGAAGGCAGCAUACCGGCGCCCAACUGACGCUGAAGCACGAAAGCGUGGGUAUCGAACAGGAUUAGAUACCCUAGUAGUC
rnacentral:rRNA from 1 species